rnacentral:rRNA from 1 species
AGUGAACGCUGGCGGUAGGCCUAACACAUGCAAGUCGAACGGCAGCACAGUAAGAGCUUGCUCUUACGGGUGGCGAGUGGCGGACGGGUGAGGAAUACAUCGGAAUCUACUUUUUCGUGGGGGAUAACGUAGGGAAACUUACGCUAAUACCGCAUACGACCUACGGGUGAAAGCAGGGGAUCUUCGGACCUUGCGCGAUUGAAUGAGCCGAUGUCGGAUUAGCUAGUUGGCGGGGUAAAGGCCCACCAAGGCGACGAUCCGUAGCUGGUCUGAGAGGAUGAUCAGCCACACUGGAACUGAGACACGGUCCAGACUCCUACGGGAGGCAGCAGUGGGGAAUAUUGGACAAGGGGCGAAAGCCUGAUCCAGCCAUACCGCGUGGGUGAAGAAGGCCUUCGGGUUGUAAAGCCCUUUUGUUGGGAAAAAAAAGCAGCAGGUUAAUACCCCGCUGUUCUGACGGUACCAAAAAAAUAAGCACCGGCUAACUUCGU